rnacentral:tRNA from 1 species
GCAUCCGUAGCUCAAUGGUAGAGCGUCAAGCUACGAACUUGGAGGUUAUAGGUUCAAAUCCUAUCGGAUGCU